rnacentral:rRNA from 1 species
AGUGAACGCUGGCGGUAGGCCUAACACAUGCAAGUCGAACGGCAACACAGUAAGAGUUUGCUCUUACCGGUGGCGAGUGGCGUACGGGUGAGGUAUAUAUCGGACUCUACUUUUUCGGAGGGGAUCACGUAGGGAAACUUACGCUAAUACCGCAUCCCACCUACCGGUGAAAGCAGGGGAUCUUCGGACCUUGCGCGGUUGGAUGCGCCGAUGUCGGAUUAGCUGGUUGGCGGGGGAAAGGCCCACCAAGGCGGGGGGCCGUGGCUGGUCUGAGAGGAUGAUCAGCCACACUGGAACUGAGACACGGUCCAGACGCCUACGGUAGGCAGCAGAGGGGAACAUUGGACAAUGGGCGCAAGCCUGAUCCAGUCAUACGGCGUGUGUGAAGAAGGCCUUCGGGGUGUAAAGCCCUUUUGUUGGGAAAGAAAAGCUGUAGGUUAAUACCCCGCGGUAGUGACGGUACCCGAAGAAGAAGCACCGGCUAACUACGUG